rnacentral:lncRNA from 1 species
UUUUUCCAGCAUCAAUCGGUUAAAUCACAUUGCUAAAAUGUUUUCAUUCAGUUACAACCGUUACAGUCCUCGACUGGCCCCACAUGCGAGUGCACUGUGGCCGCUUCGUGAUUACAAUGUAGCCAAGUUGGGUCUGGAUGCAGCUAUGCACAAAAUGCACAGGAUAUUUGAAUCUCGAUAAAACAGCUCUGCUCGGCAAGACAGUUAUGUGCAGAGAGGAGGCAGUGAGGGGCCACGGACUCAUCAGAACCAGAGCUGACCCUUAACCUGCCCUGUCUGAUGACACUCUCGUUUCCAAUGACGACCCUCCACAGCAGCGAGUUCUGUCCUCGUUCCCGUCCCUCUCGGCUGAACUGAAGCACUUCAGUCUCUGUCUGUUGGAGCCGCAGCUCGAGUGCCCUCCAUCUACUUCACUGACCGACCAACCGCUUUUCCAGUGACCAACUGCCACCGCUGUACGACCAUUGCCUCCACAGAAGACCACAGGCUACAGUGGCCUAUCAGGCCAAACGAGGGGCCUGUGCCACAGCAAACCUCUGCUCAAUGAUUCCACCUAAGGCUGAG